rnacentral:lncRNA from 1 species
CUGGAGGCUCCUGGGAGACCUUCUGGAAAUGUGAUUUAUUCCAGAGUGGAAGCACCAGGAGAAGGGUCACUCGGUAGCAGGACCACAGCCUUGCCUAAAACUCUCAGGACUAGAGACUGUAAGUCAGCAGAAGGAGAAGGUUUGGACAAGUCACUGCCAUGACAUCAUUCAGCAAUGCAAAUUGUGGCAAGAAAAACUACUCCCAUCUGCAGCCCCAUAUAGUCCCUUCCUGCUGCUGUUC